rnacentral:tRNA from 1 species
GUGCCUAUAGCUUAGUGGUAAAGCACCGCCCUGUGGAGGCGAGGAUGAGGGUCCGAUUCCCUCUAGGCACC